rnacentral:rRNA from 1 species
GAUGAACGCUAGCGGCAGGCCUAAUACAUGCAAGUCGUACGGCAACACAGUUGCGAGCAAUCGCAACCGGUGGCGAGUGGCGCACGGGUGAGUAACGCGUAUGUAACCUACCCUUCUCCGGGACAUAACUCCGCGAAAGCGGUGCUAAUAUCCCAUACCAACUCAUCAAGACAUCUUCUUGAGUUGAAAGCAGCAAUGCGGUGAAGGAUGGGCAUGCGUCCCAUUAGCUGGUUGGUGAGGUAAUGGCCCACCAAGGCUACGAUGGGUAGGGGUUCUGAGAGGAAAGCCCCCCACACUGGUACUGAGACACGGACCAGACUCCUACGGGAGGCAGCAGUGGGGAAUAUUGGGCAAUGGGGGUAACCCUGACCCAGCGACGCCGCGUGGAUGAAGAAGGCCGAAAGGUUGUAAAGUUUUUUGCUAGGGGAGAAUAAGUGAGGGAGGGAAUGCCCUCAUGAUGACAAGGACUAGCGAAUAAGACCCCGGCAAACUACGUGCCACG